UGUGCUGAUUUUAUAGUUUAAAGUACGCUGAAUAUCAUGCUGUAUUUUAUUUUUGCCCCGCGAUUUUUUAAAGUGGAUUUUUUAAGCUACAAAGUUCAGCAAUUCGGCUAUUUUUUGUCCCGGGGUCUGGACCCGAGUGAAAACAGCGCGUGACGUCACUGGUUGUACACACAUGUUGACAUUCUCAAUAUAAACAGUAAAGAACAUUUGUAUUAUCGCGCUGUAUAAAAUAUUUUAUCGUGAUUUCUACUCUUUUACUAUGUCGCACAGCGAAGAUUCUCUUAGUUACUCUAGCUUAGAGUCUGAUAACAUAACGGAGAGCAAUUUAGAAGGAAAUAUGAACGUAACGAAUUGUUUUGAGCCGUAUCAAGGGGAACUAUUGCCAGUACAGACGACAGCGAAUCUUCUGAUGAGGAACAGGACGAAGAUUACAUUUUGCCAUCUGUUUUGGAGAAGCGUUUAGAAAAAAUAUUCCAUUAGCAAAUUGGUGAGUUCUACAAACAAUACUAAGUUACUUUAUUAUGAUUUUCAUGCAAUAUUUCCCGGAUAUUUGCCUUAUUAUUUAUUUCUGUUGUAGGUGUUCGUGUGGGAAUUGUGCCGAUCAAAAUCUGGCGAGUGUUCAGAGUACUGUUGCUGCAAAGAGAUUGUGGAAGUAACUGGAAAAUUUACUUGGAUUGGCAAGAAUGUUGAAUACAUCCUUAAUCAUCCUGACUUCAAUGCUAUGACAAAAGAGAAGUGAAGUUGGGCCUCUUCUAUUUACAAACAUGGAACUGAUGGAAGCUCCCAUGGAAUAAAAAAUGGCGCAGAUAAAAGGUACAUAUACUUCGGUUGUGCAUAUUAAUUCUGACUAGUAGCGAAAGUAAAACAACUUUACAGGUUCUAUAAAGAUAAAUUUGUAUUGUUAUAGAUUCCUCAGAGCAGUGUCAUAUCGUCGGCUGUUUGGGCUGGGAGAACACCAGCCCUUGUCACCAUGCAUUUACC